AUUGAACGCUGGCGGCAGGCCUAACACAUGCAAGUCGAGCGGAUGAAGGGAGCUUGCUCCUGGAUUCAGCGGCGGACGGGUGAGUAAUGCCUAGGAAUCUGCCUGGUAGUGGGGGAUAACGUCCGGACACGGGCGCUAAUACCGCAUACGUCCUGAGGGAGAAAGUGGUGGAUCUUCGGACCUCACGCUAUCAGAUGAGCCUAGGUCGGAUUAGCUAGUUGGUGGGGUAAAGGCCUACCAAGGCGACGAUCCGUAACUGGUCUGAGAGGAUGAUCAGUCACACUGGAACUGAGACACGGUCCAGACUCCCACGGGAGGCAGCAGUGGGGAAUAUUGGACAAAGGGCGAAAGCCUGAUCCAGCCAUGCCGCGUGUGUGAAGAAGGUCUUCGGAUUGUAAAGCACUUUAAGUUGGGAGGAAGGGCAGUAAGUUAAUACCUUGCUGUUUUGACGGUACCAACAGAAUAAGCACCGGCUAACUUCGUG
rnacentral:rRNA from 1 species